GGGCUGCAGUGGGGAAUUUUGGACAAUGGGGGAAACCCUGAUCCAGCAAUGCCGCGUGUGUGAAGAAGGCCUUCGGGUUGUAAAGCACUUUUGUCAGGAACGAAACGGUGGGGGCUAAUAUCUCCUGCUAAUGACGGUACCUGAAGAAUAAGCACCGGCUAACUACGUGCCAGCAGCCGCGGUAAUACGUAGGGUGCGAGCGUUAAUCGGAAUUACUGGGCGUAAAGCGUGCGCAGGCGGUUGUGCAAGACAGAUGUGAAAUCCCCGGGCUUAACCUGGGAAUUGCAUUUGUGACUGCACGGCUAGAGUGUGUCAGAGGGGGGUAGAAUUCCACGUGUAGCAGUGAAAUGCGUAGAUAUGUGGAGGAAUACCGAUGGCGAAGGCAGCCCCCUGGGAUAACACUGACGCUCAUGCACGAAAGCGUGGGGAGCAAACAGGAUUAGAUACCCCUGUAGUC
rnacentral:rRNA from 1 species